rnacentral:rRNA from 1 species
ACGACUCUCGGCAACGGAUAUCUCGGCUCUCGCAUCGAUGAAGAACGCAGCGAAAUGCGAUACUUGGUGUGAAUUGCAGAAUCCCGCGAACCAUCGAGUCUUUGAACGCAAGUUGCGCCCAAAGCCAUUCGGCCGAGGGCACGUCUGCCUGGGUGUCACGCAACGU